AUUGAACGCUAGCGGGAUGCCUUACACAUGCAAGUCGAACGAGUGGCGGACGGGUGAGUAAGAUAACGGAACGUGCCCAGUAGCGGGGGAUAACUAAUCGAAAGAGGGGCUAAUACAGCAUACUAUUGGAGCGGCCGAUAUCGGAUUAGCUAGUUGGUGGGGUAAAGGCUAACAAAGGCAACGACACGUAGCUGGUUUGAGAGGAAGACCAGCCACACUGGGACUGAGACACGGCCCAGACUCCUACGGGAGGCAGUAGUGGGGAAUUUUGGACAAUGGGGGAAACCCUGAUCCAGCCAUCCCGCGUGUAUGAGAAGGCCUUCGGUUUGUAAAGUACUUUUGGCAGAGAAGCGUUAUCUGCAGAAUAAGCACCGGCUAACUACGUGCCAGCAGCCGCGGUAAUAC
rnacentral:rRNA from 1 species